GACGAACGCUGGCGGCGUGCCUAAUACAUGCAAGUCGAACGAACCGCGACUAGGUGCUUGCACUUGGUCAAGGUGAGUGGCGAACGGGUGAGUAACACGUGGGUAACCUACCUCAUAGUGGGGGAUAACAGUCGGAAACGACUGCUAAUACCGCAUAGGACAUGGGAUCACAUGAUUCUGUGAGGAAAGGUGGCGCAAGCUAUCGCUAAGAGAUGGACCCGCGGUGCAUUAGCUAGUUGGUAGGGUAACGGCCUACCAAGGCGAUGAUGCAUAGCCGACCUGAGAGGGUGAUCGGCAACAUUGGGACUGAGACACGGCCCAAACUCCUACGGGAGGCAGCAGUAGGGAAUCUUCCGCAAUGGACGCAAGUCUGACGGAGCAACGCCGCGUGAGUGAAGAAGGUCUUCGGAUCGUAAAGCUCUGUUGUUAGAGAAGAACAGCGCAUAGAGUAACUGUUAUGCGUGUGACGGUAUCUAACCAGAAAGCCACGGCUAACUACGUG
rnacentral:rRNA from 1 species